CACAACUCACGCACCCUCCUCACUCCUUCUCUUUCAGCCGCUCUCCCCUCACCCCUCUCCCUUCACGGCCUCAUGCCGCCGCCACAGACGGCACGCCGCCGCCGUAGGCCGGCGACUCUGCCUCCCCCUGUCCUCUCCUCAACCUCUCUCCCUCUUCCCUCAUCUCUUCCUUCCCUUCGACCUCUCUCCCUCUCCCUUAUCUCUCGCCUCCCCUCUCUCUAUUUCCCCU
rnacentral:lncRNA from 1 species